GACGAACGCUGGCGGCGCGCCUAACACAUGCAAGUCGAGCGAGAACCGGGCCUUCGGGCCCGGGGACAGCGGCGAACGGGUGAGUAACACGUGGGCAACCUGCCCUCGGCACUGGGGUAGCCCGGGGAAACCCGGAUUAAUACCGGAUAGCCUCCGGAGCCUUCGGGCACCGGAAGAAAGGUGGCUUCGGCAUCCGGCCGAGGAGGGGCCCGCGGCGGAUUAGCUUGUUGGUGGGGUAAUGGCCCACCAAGGCGACGAUCCGUAGCUGGUCUGAGAGGACGAUCAGCCACACUGGGACUGAGACACGGCCCAGACUCCUACGGGAGGCAGCAGUGGGGAAUCUUGCGCAAUGGGCGAAACCCUGACGCAGCGACGCCGCGUGCGGGAAGAAGGCCCUCGGGUUGUAAACCGCUUUCAGGAGGGACGAAGCCACUCGGGUGAACAGCCCAGAGGGUGACGGUACUUCCAGAAGAAGCCCCGGCUAACUACGUGCCAGCCGCCGCAGUAACAC
rnacentral:rRNA from 1 species